GUCUACAACCCUGCCACUCUGAGCAAGCCAGAUCCCGUCUGAUCUCAGAAGCUAAGCAGGGUCGAGCCUGGUUAGUAUUUGGAUGGGAGACCACCUAGGAAGUCCAGGUGCUGUAGGCG
rnacentral:rRNA from 1 species